rnacentral:tRNA from 1 species
GCCCAGGUGGUGAAACGGUAGACACGCUAGCUUGAGGGGCUAGUGACUAACUUUUGGUCGUGGAGGUUCAAAUCCUCUCCUGGGCA